rnacentral:lncRNA from 1 species
CAUAAGCAGAAGUUCACGUAAACGCACACGCACCCAACUCUAUAAAUACACACAUAACCUUACCUCCAUGAGUAUAUUUGAGAGAAUGAGCUGACCAUUGGUACCUCGCUGUCGACGGACACAUUGCUUAUCAUUGAAAGAAUAGCGCCGGUGAAUUCCUGGAAGCAUCUGCGCCGAGUCGAGAACUCAAACUCUACACGUGCUAAAGCAUAUGCAUGUCUCUAUGUUGUCUGUCAUGGCAUCUCAAACGUCAGUGGAAUCAUCUGCACUUAAGGGUGUUUAGAGCCAUCUAGGACGACACAUUGCAAUUCCUAUUGAAAGAAAU